GAUGAACGCUGGCGGCGUGCCUAACACAUGCAAGUCGAGCGAUUCUCUUCGGAGAAGAGCGGCGGACGGGUGAGUAACGCGUGGGUAACCUGCCCUGUACACACGGAUAACAUACCGAAAGGUAUGCUAAUACGGGAUAACAUGAGAGAGUCGCAUGGCUUUUUUAUCAAAGCUCCGGCGGUACAGGAUGGACCCGCGUCUGAUUAGCUAGUUGGUGAGGUAAUGGCUCACCAAGGCGACGAUCAGUAGCCGACCUGAGAGGGUGAUCGGCCUAAUUGGAACUGCGACACGGUCCAAACUCCUACGGGAGGCAGCAUUGGGGAAUAUUGCACAAUGGGCGAAAGCCUGAUGCAGCAACGCCGCGUGAGCGAUGAAGGCCUUCGGGUCGUAAAGCUCUGUCCUCAAGGAAGAUAAUGACGGUACUUGAGGAGGAAGCCCCGGCUAACUACGUGCCAGCCGCCGCCGUAA
rnacentral:rRNA from 1 species